CCCAAAAGGCCACGCAGGGCGCCAUGGCAACCGCGAGGCCACGGAGCCCUGGGAGAAAGGGGCCUGUGUUAACACCGGCACAGCCUCCCCAGUAGGGCUGGGGGCUUGUUAACCAGCUUACCAGGCGGCGCCCGGCCCAUUGACAUGGAAAUCCAGACCUGCCAUCCGUCAGCCCUGAAAAGGCCUGUCGGACCCUGAAAAGAGCCAGUGGAGGAGGAGGGGGCCCACUGGACUGCAGUGUUCUGCCCGAAUGGACAGACAGACGAAUGGACAGCUGGGAGGAAUGGAUGGAAAAGCUAUGCCUGGCUGGCUGGACAGAGGGGAAAACAAUAUACAGACACUGGGAGCUCUGCAAGGGCACGGACCAUGUCUGCCUAUCUGCCUGUGAACCCGCUCAGGACCUGCCACAUGACCGGUGCACAACAAACACGCGCUGAGCAAGCAGAUGAGCAGCGGGUUGCUUCCCUCUCGGCAGAGGCACAAGUGGCAGGCACCCAGAGUGGCGCUAAGCGUGACAGCCAUCAUAGCCAUGAUGAGCCGAGCUCCCCAAUCAGUCCCCCACCUCCCUGCCCUGGGCAGGGGGCCUCCAUCCACAUGGAGCCAGAGAAGGGGCCCCGUGGGUCGGGCUCAGACCCGCCUCCUCCCUACUGACCCCAGAGGGAACUGGGCAGCUCCUGGCACACAGCAGGGCCUCCAUGAAUGGCCUGGGGUUAAAAUGACCUCGGCCCGAGUGAGAGGGCAUUCAGAGGAUGGAGAGAGCCAGGAGCGGUUUCUGGAGCCAGAGCUGAGCUGUGAGUGUGUGGUGGCCGGGCAUAGCUGGCUGGGGAUUCCAGAGGGCUAGGCGAGGGAGCACCAGGGAGUGGGGGACCCUGCUAUGGUCUCCCUGGAGCCCUGGGGUCCUGGUCAGCCCCAAAUCAGCCCU